rnacentral:rRNA from 1 species
UACAGAGGGGGCGAGCGUUUAUUCGGAAUUAUUGGGCGUAAAGGGCGCGUAGGCGGCUUUUCAAGUGACGGGUGAAAGCCCUCGGCUUAACCGAGGAACUGCCUGUCAGACUGGAAGGCUUGAGACCGGGAGAGGUGAGUGGAAUUCCCAGUGUAGCGGUGAAAUGCGUAGAUAUUGGGAGGAACACCAGUGGCGAAGGCGGCUCACUGGACCGGAACUGACGCUGAGGCGCGAAAGCGUGGGGAGCAAACAGG